UUUGUUACUUCAAACCAAUCGGACUUCGGUCUGACAUCAAGUGAUAUUGAACAAUUUAGCUGAUCGCACGGUCUAAGAACCGGCGACAUAUCCUUCAAAUGUCUGCCUUAUCAACUUUCGAUGGUAGAUUAUGCGCCUACCAUGGUUGUAACGGGUAACGGAGAAUCAGGGUUUGAUUCCGGAGAGGGAGCCUGAGAAACGGCUACCACAUCCAAGGAAGGCAGCAGGCACGCAAAAUACCCACUCCCGGCACGGGGAGGUAGUGACGAAAAAUAACAAGCUGGUCUCAAUGAGUUCCAGCAUUGUAAUGGGAACAAUUUAAAUCUUUUAUCGAGGAUCUAUUGGAGGGCAAGUCUGGUGCCAGCAGCCGCGGUAAUUCCAGCUCCAAUAGCGUAUAUUAAAGUUGUUGCGGUUAAAAAGCUCGUAGUUGGAUCUAGGAUUAGGGCUACGGUCGUUCAGCUUGGACGUACUGUAUGCCCGACUCCUUUUCUCUAGUAUUCGAUUGUUGCUCUUAAAUGAGUGACUUUAGUUGCUGGAACUUUUACCUUGAAAAAAUUGAAGUGCUCAAAGCAGGUU
rnacentral:rRNA from 1 species